UGAGAAAAGGGUCCCUGAGAGAGAUGUGUUUGGGCCUCUUAUUCAAUACUUAUCGAUUUGCUUUCUUUCAUUAUGAAUUGUCAUUUUUAUUUUUGGAAUUUAUCCCGAAAGUGUUUCUUCUUCGAUACCCUAGGGUUUAGUCCCUUUUGCUCUACCAAUUAAUGGCUCCUAAGGGCAGGGGUGCUCCUCUUCCAACCCAAAAGUGGGUUUUGGCUCACCUUUUUG
rnacentral:misc_RNA from 1 species